AUGCUCGACUGGGCAGCACGUAUACUAAAAUUGGAAUGAUAUAGUGAAGAUUAGCAAUGGCCCCUGCACAAGGAUGACACUCAAAUUCAUGAAACAUUCCCUAUUUUA
ensembl:snRNA U6 U6 spliceosomal RNA